UGCAGUCCGACAGCUGGAGGUGGAGCAUUCGGCUAAGAUCGUUAUAGAAACGCUGCCAGAGUCCAACGAGCAACUGCCCAAUAUCCAGGAGGAGGAAAACGAGGACGACCCAGAGAGCCUGAUGGACGUCCGUCUGGCUGAAGACGACGUCACUCCUUCAUCACAGACGUGGAGCCA
rnacentral:lncRNA from 1 species